rnacentral:rRNA from 1 species
GGACGAACGCUGGCGGCGUGCUUAACACAUGCAAGUCGAGCGGUAAGGCCCUUUCGGGGGUACACGAGCGGCGAACGGGUGAGUAACGCGUGGGUGACCUGCCCUCAGCUCUGGGAUAAGCCUGGGAAACCGGGUCUAAUACUGGAUAUGACUCCAUGACGCAUGUUGUGGGGUGAAAGCCUUGUGCGGCUGAGGAUGGGCCCGCGGCCUAUCAGCUUGUUGGUGGGGUGAGGCCUACCAAAGGCGACGACGGGUAGCCGGCCUGAGAGGGCGACCGGCCACACUGGGACUGAGACACGGCCCAGACUCCGUACGGGAGGCAGCAGUGGGGAAUCUUGCGCAAUGGGCAAAGCCUGACGCAGCGACGCCGCGUGA